rnacentral:lncRNA from 1 species
ACUCACUUCACAGUUUAAAUUAACUUUAAACAGCUUUCUAAUUCUCUUCACUCUUCAAAAAAUUGAUACCCAGAGUAAAAAUCUUAAUUUAGAGAAGCAAAAAUAAACAAGUGCCUAAAAUCUAUGGAGAUGCAUGUAAUUAAGAGCAUGUUUGAGCUUUCGAGUAUAAGAUGAGUUCUGGUAGAGAGGGUCAUAAUGUAGGGUGUAGUGAGGAGGAGAAAUCAAGGUUGAUGGAUUCUAUUACUAAUCCAGACGAUGGACAAAUGCUAUUGCUAUGCAAAAGGGGGUUGCAGGAAAUAAAUUGAGAGAGAGAUCGAGGGUGAAGUUUACGGAUUGAGGACUCAAGGAUUGACAUUAACAGAAAAUAUAACUUAUCUAAAGCUGAUGUUACGGCUGUGAUUGUCAGAAAGAUUCAUGAGUAGCGGAGAAGGACAGAAUUAGUGAAGCUGAAGUUUCAUGAAACACUUGCCACGAUAUGAAGCACAUGACUGACGAGGUUUGUUUGUUAUAUUAUCUAACUUUAAAAAUGCGAUGAUCUUUUCAUUUGAUAGUUCUUGUUGUUGAUCGACUGUUAAUGUUUCGGUAAAUUACUUGACAAGAAGGAAUUGUGAUAUAUAACUGAUACGCCAACUCUUAUUGAUAGGCUCUGUUCUGGCCACCUUUACAUAACUUAAAUAUCGGCAUUAUUCAGUUUGGUUGUGUUUUCUAGUGAAUUUUGAUUUCUUCUUGGUAGGUCUUGUACGUACAUUUAUUCAUAUUAUCUUUUAUAGUAGUUACUAGUUAGGAUGAUUCUCAUUAUAUCGUCUCAAGGUCUCAGUUUAAUGGAAGUCGGGAAGCAUUAUGGUGGUUAUUCGAGGACUUAACUACGAAAGGCCUUCUUCCAAAUCUCCAUCUGUUGAUUAUAAAGCUAACACGUUUUUGUCAUUGACAUCUGAUCUACUGAUAAUUUGACUAUGGGAAAUUAUAGCGAUUUUAUUCCUAUCUCCAAAAAUUGAACCAUCCAUUAGAAAUCCAUUGCUUCUUUAGAGCUUGACAGGACAGGAAGUGUAAUACAACAGCCUAUUAGAUGGACUAGGUCCACAUCCCUUUAUUGAUUGUGCUGUCUUGCUUCCUAUCCCGGACUACAAAACACCUUUUAAAAUUUCUACAACUGACUUGUAACCCAAGGUACAAGAGCUUGAACCUGACCUGUCAAUGGUGUUUGAAUUUGGAAAACGUUAAUUGUUUCAAUUUUUCAUAUGUUUUUCUGAUUUUGUGAUUAAUGAUAGCAAGUAAGACCGAUUUAUUAAUUCUUAUUAAUUAUCUUAAAAUUCAGAGGAUUAAAGGAUGCAAAUCGAUGUGAUCGUAUCUCAGAGAGUCAGAGUUCACUCAAGUGAUAUAUCAUAUAUCUUUGUAGGCCAUGAGAUUUCAAUGUUUUAAUGUUUACCACUUUUUUUGCAUGAUAUAUACGUACUCUGAUGUACUAUUUUUGUGUGGAGUGAAGAUGACGAUUCCUUCACAAUGGUGACGAUCAUGUUGAUGAUGACACAUUUGUUGUUGUGCUCACUUUAUUCUUGUUAAUCUCUCUUUGUUUCUGUACCAACAAAUUCUUGGAGGUAUUAUUUGAUAGUUUAUCGAUUGGAAAAGAAGAAAGCAAAAAUAAUAGCUGGCAUGCCGCAUGCACACAACUUGAUAACACCUUGGGAUUCCUACACCUCUUAGGAACAUAGCAGGUGAAAUUUAUGUUUCCAAAGUAAGAUUAUUACAAAAAGAAGCUCUGAGUCUCUGACAUAUCUCUAGAAAUCCUCCCCACCAAACUCUUAACCAUUGUAGGCAAUAGGUAAUCCAAAUUGAAGGUUAUUGUCGAUUAUAAAAUUAUUUACCAAGAUCUAUAUUUCUUGUCUUUCAAUGGUAAUCUUAGUUCGUUUUUUGUACCUACCAAAUGAUUGUUGAGUUUCAACUGCUAUCUACGCUGUACUCUGUUUGGUUGGUUUCAGCCUUUGGUGUAAUUUGUUAGCUUUAACUCUCUGAGAGCCAUAAUUUCUGUCUUUCUAGGUUUGUCUAAAACUCACUUUUGCCAUGGUUUAAAAUUCAAGUAGUGAUAAUACUCGUACUAGGUAGGCAGUUGUUUCUUUGUUUCCAUGGGCACACACUUGAUCCCUAAUUAGUGUGCAUGAGCAACUUAUUUUGCUCUAAUUUUGGGGAUGAGCUUGUUCUUUUCGAUCUUUUUAUUUUCCUUGCUGGGAUCCAAGGUGGGACUUUGUAAGGGUUGUUGAUUAAAGCAUGAAUAACAUAACAGGCUAGAGCCUACUCAAAAGAAUUACUGAUCAGAAAAGAAAAAAAAAAAGAAACCUAACAGGGUUUAGUUCAAGCCUGCUUUGUUAAGAAAAUCGUGAUGAGGAAAAAAUGUAUCUCCAACAAAAAAAAAUUGUUGUUGUCGUAAGGUGUUGAAUUCUAUUUAUAUCAAAUGCGAGUUAAAAUAAAAACCGAGGUGUAUGUCUAAUUGUCUUUUUUAUACAACAUGCAUAGUGAAAAUUAGCUUAAAAGGGCUUCAUAUACAUCAUUGAAGAUACAGAUAAACUGAUUAUUCACGAUUUCUGUAUAUCAGCCCACCUAGUUCUUCUCUUCACUAUGUAUGUCCAACCCCUUGCAUAAAAGUACCCGAUUUCAAGGAGACAAGGCUAUCGAUGUGAGUCACUAUUUCUUCUAUUUUAUUCCAAUUUCCCGCAUCUUGAGAUUUCUUGAUGUCUUUUCUUUCAGAUCAUACAACAGUAAAUCUUUUCAUCCUUCAUUAAAAUUUCACCUUUCUUCAAAAAGUGCAGUGGUCUCAAACUUCCGAAAAGAAAUUGAUCCAGGAUAUAAAUGUCAGGUCUAAGUAGCAUGUGAAACGACAGUAUAACUGUUUGUUCAGUAGCGCAUAAUUUAGUCCAUGAGUUUGGUUCGCCAUAGUUGUUCAUCACCCAAAUCUGAAUCUGAGUAGUAUGGAAUUUGCAGAGCAUGCAAAGUUGUCCUCUUAACAACCCCACAGUUAUGGCAGUGUGUUCACUCACAUCAUGAGGUCGUGGCACUUCUCGAAACAUUUUAUCCCUCAUAUUGAAAGAGAAGGUUACUACUGAGUACACUUUCGACUUGGAAUUUGCUACCCAUUGAAUAGCUUCGUUGAAAAAAAUCCCAGAAUCUUUUCCAUUCAAAAUGUGGUAAGGAAUGCUUAUGGACACUGUUCUGUUUACAUUUUAAUCAACUUAAAUAUUGGCAAUAUAAGUUUGGUUGCUUUUUCUAGUGAAUUUUGAUUUCUUCCUGGUAGGUCUUAUACGUCUGUUUAUAUUACUUCUUAUAGUAUUUAGGAUGAUACUCGUUAUAUCAACUUCCUUGUAUCAAGGUCUCUGUGUAAUGGAGGUCAGGAACCUGUAUGGUGGUUUUUCAAGGAAUUAACUAUGAAAGGCCUCCUUCCAGAUCUCUGGCAAUUGAUGGUAAAACUGACACUUUUUUGUCAUUGGCAUUUGAUCUACUGAUAUUUUGACUUGAGGAAAUUAUAACGAAUUUAUUCCUAUCUCCAAAAAUCGAACCAUCCAUACAAAAUCCAUUGCUUCUUUGGAGCCUGACAGGACAGGAAGUGUAAUACAACAGCCUACUAGAUGGACUUGGUCCCAUCAUUUUAUUGAUUGUGCUGACUUGGUUCCUCCUAUUAUCAAUGGUGUUUGAAUUUGAGGAACAUUGAUUACCUCAAUGACUUUCCUAUGUGUUCCUGAUUUUUUGUGAUUAAAUGAUUGCAAGCAAGGCCAAGUUAUUAAUACUUACGAAUUAUUUUAAAAUUUAAGAGGGUGAAAAGGAUGCAAAUCGAUCUGAUCAUAUCUCAGAGUUCACUCAAGUGAUAUAUGAUAUAUCUUUGUAGGCCAUAAGUCAUUAUUUAAAUGUUUACCACUUUUUAUGCCUUCAUAUAUAUGUGACUCUGAUGUACUAUUUUGUGUAGAAUGGAGAUGACGAUUCCUCUACAAUGGUGAUGAAGAUAGUAGAGAUGAUGAUGAGAAUUUUGAUUGUGAAGAUGCUGAACCUGAUAGAGGGCCUUGAUUGGGAAGAUGAUAGAGAAUGAAAUUCACGGAAGUUUUGAAUCUUUAUACAUACGCUGGCGAAGAGAUGGAUUUUAUCAGAAGAAAUUCAAACAGGUAUAACAUCCCCAAAGUGACAUAUUUCUUGUUGUGCUCAAGUUAUUAUUGUUAAUCUCUCUUUGUUUCUUAUUUAUCUGUACCAACAAAUUCUUGGAGGUAUUAUUUGAUAGUUCAUCAAUUGGAAAAGAAAAAAGCAAAAAUAAUAAGAUUUCUCAGCUACAGUAUACAGGGCCUGUGUAUAGAUUUAGGCAAUCUUACAAAAGUAGGAUUUGGUGUUUAACGAAAAAUUCCCAGGAUCUUGCCUCUGCUGCAUGCAUACAGAAGUAAGUAUAUUACUACUUCAGAUCACG